rnacentral:rRNA from 1 species
CAAGUCGAGCGCCCAGCAAUGGGAGCGGCGGACGGGUGAGUAACACGUGGGAACAUGCCUUUCGGUACGGAACAACUCAGGGAAACUUGAGCUAAUGCCGUAUACGCCCUUACGGGGAAAGAUUUAUCGCCGAAAGAUUGGCCCGCGUCUGAUUAGCUAGUUGGUGAGGUAAUGGCUCACCAAGGCUUCGAUCAGUAGCUGGUUUGAGAGAACGACCAGCCACAUUGGGACUGAGACACGGCCCAAACUCCUACGGGAGGCAGCAGUGGGGAAUCUUGGACAAUGGGGGAAACCCUGAUCCAGCGAUGCCGCGUGAGUGAUGAAGGCCUUCGGGUUGUAAAACUCUUUCGACGGGGACGAUAAUGACGGUACCCGUAGAAGAAGCUCCGGCUAACUUCGUGCCAGCAGCCGCGGUAAUUCGAAGGGGGCUAGCGUUGUUCGGAAUUACUGGGCGUAAAGCGCGCGCAGGCGGCUUCUCAAGUCAGGGGUGAAAGCCCAGAGCUCAACUCUGGAACUGCCCUUGAAACUGUGAAGCUUGAGUACGGGAGAGGUGAGUGGAAUUCCCAGUGUAGAGGUGAAAUUCGUAGAUAUUGGGAAGAACACCGGUGGCGAAGGCGGCUCACUGGCCCGUUACUGACGCUCAGGCGCGACAGCGUGGGGAUCAAACAGGAUUAGAUACCCUGGUAGUCCACGCCGUAAACUAUGAACGCUAGCCGUUGGGUAGCUUGCUACUCAGUGGCGCAGCUAACGCAUUAAGCGUUCCGCCUGGGGAGUACGGCCGCAAGGUUGAAACUCAAAGGAAUUGACGGGGGCCCGCACAAGCGGUGGAGCAUGUGGUUUAAUUCGACGCAACGCGCAGAACCUUACCAGGGUUUGACAUCCUGUGCUCACUCCUGAAA